GAUGAACGCUGGCGGCGUGCCUAAUACAUGCAGGUCGAGCGAACGGACGAGAAGCUUGCUUCUCUGAUGUUAGCGGCGGACGGGUGAGUAACACGUGGAUAACCUACCUAUAAGACUGGGAUAACUUCGGGAAACCGGAGCUAAUACCGGAUAAUAUUUUGAACCGCAUGGUUCAAAAGUGAAAGACGGUCUUGCUGUCACUUAUAGAUGGAUCCGCGCUGCAUUAGCUAGUUGGUAAGGUAACGGCUUACCAAGGCAACGAUGCAUAGCCGACCUGAGAGGGUGAUCGGCCACACUGGAACUGAGACACGGUCCAGACGCCUACGGGAGGCAGCAGUAGGGAAUCUUCCGCAAUGGGCGAAAGCCUGACGGAGCAACGCCGCGUGAGUGAUGAAGGUCUUCGGAUCGUAAAACUCUGUUAUUAGGGAAGAACAUAUGUGUAAGUAACUGUGCACAUCUUGACGGUACCUAAUCAGAAAGCCACGGCUAACUACGUG
rnacentral:rRNA from 1 species